rnacentral:rRNA from 1 species
AUUGAACGCUGGCGGCAGGCCUAACACAUGCAAGUCGAGCGGAUGAAGAGAGCUUGCUCUCUGAUUUAGCGGCGGACGGGUGAGUAAUGCCUAGGAAUCUGCCUGGUAGUGGGGGAUAACGUUCCGAAAGGAACGCUAAUACCGCAUACGUCCUACGGGAGAAAGCAGGGGACCUUCGGGCCUUGCGCUAUCAGAUGAGCCUAGGUCGGAUUAGCUAGUUGGUGAGGGAAUGGCUCACCAAGGCUACGAUCCGUAACUGGUCUGAGAGGAUGAUCAGUCACACUGGAACUGAGACACGGUCCAGACUCCUACGGGAGGCAGCAGUGGGGAAUAUUGGACAAUGGUCGAAAGCCUGAUCCAGCCAUGCCGCGUGCGUGAAGAAGGUCUUCGGAUUGUAAAGCACUUUAAGUUGGGAGGAAGGGCAGUAAGUUAAUACCUUGCUGUUUUGACGUUACCGACAGAAUAAGCACCGGCUAACUUCGUGCCAGCCGCCGCGGUAAGAC